rnacentral:rRNA from 1 species
UACGUAGGGUGCAAGCGUUGUCCGGAAUUAUUGGGCGUAAAGAGCUCGUAGGCGGUCUGUUGCGUCGGCUGUGAAAACCCGGGGCUCAACCCCGGGCCUGCAGUCGAUACGGGCAGGCUAGAAUUCGGUAGGGGAGACUGGAAUUCCUGGUGUAGCGGUGAAAUGCGCAGAUAUCAGGAGGAACACCGGUGGCGAAGGCGGGUCUCUGGGCCGAUAUUGACGCUGAGGAGCGAAAGCGUGGGGAGCGAACAGG